rnacentral:lncRNA from 1 species
CCGAAUCAUUCAGACACCAUUUCACGGAGAUGGAAGCCCCAGGGAAUGGCAAAGCAGAGUUGGCAAGUUGUGUGGAAUGAACCAGGCAAGUCCUUGGAUCCAACAAAAGCCCCCGAAACAAUGUGGGCUACGACAGGACAGUGGCACAUUGCCUUUAAUCCCAGCACUUGGGAGGCAGAGGCAGGCGGAUCUCUGGGAGUUCGAGGCCAGCCUGGUCUACAAAGUGAGUUCCAGGACAGCCAGGACUGUCCUUCUCUUACACAGAGAAGCCCUAUCUUGAAAAGCAAACAAACAAACAAACAAAAAGAAGCAAAGCAGUCUUAAAGCUUGAGACUGGGCCCGUGAGGGGCUUUGAAUUCACAUCUUAGACAAUAGGAGAGUUGGAGUUAUGAGGUCAGUUUUUCUUACUGAGGUGGAAUACUUAGCAUGAUGUGGGGUCACUGGGAUAGAGAGGGUGGUGGGGCUUCUAGAAAGAAUCCUAAGAGCAGUGCCAAGCACAAAGCAGGGACAAGUUUUCUGGUCUAGUUACUACGGAUAGAAUCAGUCUAAAGGGGCUGGGUGGAAGAAGUCCUAACAUCAAGGCUACUCAAGAAAACCCUCAAGCUAAUUGGAAAAAUGAUGGUAACUCCCACACGAUCACUUACCUGAUCAGACAAUAUUUAGAGGACUUUACUUUUAGAGCUUUAGAGGUUCUAAAAAUAAUCAGAUUAAAAUUAGAAAAUGAAAUAUCACAGUGAUAUCUAUUAGAAAGGCAUACGAUACCAAAUAAAAUCAGCAUGGAGAUCCAGGACCAUCUGUGGUGAUAUCUUGUUUAUAUUUUAACAAAUAAAGCUUGCCUGAAGAUCAGAGGGUGGAGCUAGCCACUAGCUAACCAUAGAGGUCUGGAGUCUGUACAGACAGACAGGAAGUAAGAUGGCUGGGCAGAGAGAGGAAUAUAGGUGGGGAGGAGACAGGAACUUAGUCUCUUUUCAGUCUGAGGAUUUCGUAGAGGUAAGAGCUCUAGUGUGUGGCUGCUUUGCUUCUCUGAUCUUUCAACUUUCACUCCCUCAUAUUUGACUCUGGGUUUUUUAUUAUUAAGACCGAUUAGAACUCAUGCUACAACCAUCUGUGCUGAGUGCAGAUACUUCCUGAACUAUGAUGAGGUUAGUUAUGCCAAAGAACUCACUGUAAGCUCAAAAUACAGUGUGUUAGAAAUGUCUUUCAUCACCUGACCUACAUAACCACUGCAGCUUAGCCUAGCUCAUCCUGAGUGUGCUCAGAACCUCUCAUUAGAGUAUCGUUGGGCGAAAUCACCUAGUGCAAAGUUCAUUUUAUAACAAAAUCAGGAUGGUUAUGUUUCAGUUCCUGAACUCUCAUCAUUUUGAAAGAGUCUAAAUCAGAAAUUGUCUAUAUAAACAUAUGAGGCUUUCUACUUUCAUUUCUGGUGCUGUGAUAAAAUACACUGUCAAAAGCAACUUAGGAGAGGACCAGGUUCAUUCAGUUUACAAUUCUAGGUGACAAUCCAUUAUUGUGGGGAGGUCAAGGCAGGAACUUAAGGCAUUGCAUCCAUAGCCAAGAGCAGAGAGAGAAUAAACGAAUCCUUUCUUGCUUGCUUUCGGUAUCUGUCUCUAUUCUUAUAUAGUGUAUAUAGCAUAUGCCUGGGGAAUGUUGCCACCCAUAAUGGGCUGUGUCUUUCUGCAUCGAUUAACCAUUAAGACAACCUUCCACAGACAUGUCUUUGACAUGGCCAUUGGUCGACCUGAUCUAGAGAAUUCCUCAUUAUGACUCUUAUCCCAGGUGAUGUUAGUUAGUUAGUUAAUUAAAACUAACUAGCACAAGGAGAAGCCAGUGUGUACCUGGACGUCUGGACAGAGAUGUGGGUGGUCAUCGUCAUGAUGGAUGCUUGUGAGGGGCCAGGCUAGAUUGUCAAGAGCAAUGUAUCCAGGUCUUAAGGGCAGAGUGAAAACUCUGGGAAGCACAACGAAUCAUUAAUAGCAUCUAUAUACAUCAACAGUACACUAAAACAAAAUAAUACAGCAUCGGAGCAAGUAGAAUGAAAUGGUCAUUCAUAGGAGAAAGAGUUGGGGACUGAAGUUGAAUAAAUGAGAGGAGCAGAGCUUGUAUGGUUACAUUUUGGGAAGUGAGAUUGUUAGGGUUACAUGCCUCAGCACCUUAUGUUAAAAUACAUGUGUGACCAAAGCCGCCACUCUGAGGUGAGGGAAUCCCCUUUUGUCUGUUUGUUUAUAUAGUCACUUUCUUGAGGUCUGACAGGAUGCCACAUAUUUUUAUUUUGUAUGGAUGGAUGUUUUGCCUGCAAUUAUGUCUAUGCAUCACAUGAAUUCAGUGUCUGCAGAGGCCAGAGGGGAGCACUGCACUCCUGGAAAGAGUUACAGUUGUGAGCUGCCAUGUGGGUGCUGGGAAAUUGAACCCAGGUCCUCUGGAAGAACAGCCAGUGCUCUCAUCCUCUGAGCCAUCUCUCAGGUCCCAUGCCCACAUAUUUUUAAGAAGUGAAUUUUAGUAAUAAUCUCAUAUAGUGCUGAUAGGGUUUUCAGAGCUCACUCCUGGCGUUGGCUAGGUAGGACUACCACCUACGGAAAUGAGUUAGUGGGAGUAUUUCUAGAACAUGAGGAAGACUGAGGCGCAGGUGGCUGAAGUGACUGGGAAGUUUCAGCCCUGUGACUCAGACCUGUAUCUCCUGGUCCAGUCCAAGGUCCCAGCAAGCAUCACAAGUGGGAAGUGAGUGCUUCUAUGAGGACAAUGGAGCAAAAUGUUACUGGGAUUGGGCCACAUGCACUUUUUUAAAAUUGCUUUUGUUUUCUUUAGCUAUUGUUUUUGUUGUUGAAGAAAUUUUGCUGUCUGCACUAAAUCCCAAGUCAGUGGUUAGCUAACAACAUGCUGUAAUUGUUUCAAUGCAACCAUUAGGAGUUAUUUUUAAUUUAUAAGCAUCCUUAUAUAAUUUUAUUUCAAAAAAUAACUUCUGCCCCAGGGUAACUCUACUUUAUUCUUUUGCCUGUCAAUAAUCAUGUACUUCAAGUUUUCAGAAGAUUUUUCUAGAUUUUUUCCCCUCUAAGAAACUGAAAGUUGAAUUUCUUUCUGGAGCAAGGAAAAGAGAAUGCAUCCAUAACUGAGCUAGGAUCCUGGUGAUGGAAAUUGGGGAAGAUGGGGCCAGUUUAGCCAACUCAGAGCAUGUGUCUCUUGUGGUUGGGGGAGGGGGUCAAAAAUAGUUCACUCUGCCUCCACAACAUGGUGUUCCAUGUUUAGACACAGCUGGACUCUCCAGGCCGGAAGCUAAGUCCCUGGAGGGACAGUGCUCUUAAUACUGCAGACAUAACGUGAAAUCUGAACAGUUGGGCAGGCUCUAAGUUUGCUUGAGAAUUUUCUUCCUAAGUGGAGCUCAGCUUCUAGGACAGUCCCAUCAAAGACGAAUUCCUGCUUGUUCUCUAACUCAUUCCCAAGGGACUUCUCUUGCAGGCUCGUUGGUGUUCUUGGUAGUGGGACAACAGAUUUAUUCAAGGUUGCCUGGCUUUGAAGUAACAGUACCAGAAUAAACCACCUGUUUUUAGUUGCUGACUAAACAUAUGGAGCUUAACCUGUUCCUGAUAAUUUGAUGUUUGUUGGCUGCAGAAAGCAUCUCUGAUGUGUGGGUUAUGAUCAUAACAGAAGAUAAAGACUAGUCCAAACACCUCUCUCCAGCUCACAGAUAUCUCCAAACCUCAUUCCUUUGGGGUUCUCCUGCAUACCACUAGGCAGGCAUGAUGGGUUAGUCUCAGUGACACCUUUUAAAAAUUUAAAUAACUUUCUUUUUAUUUAGUUUGCAUGCCAACUGAAGUUUCCCCUCCCUCUUCUCCUCCCAGUUCCCGCCCCUCUUCCCAUCUACUCCCUCCCCCUCCACUUGUCCUCCAUCUCCAUUCAGAAAGGGGAAGGCCUCCCAUGGGCUUGAACAAAGCAGGCUCAGUGACACAGUGAUUUGAUGAUUGGUGACCAUGAUGAUUAAUACUGGCUAUCAAGUUGACUAGAUCCGGACUGAACUAAGAACAUCCGGAUGUUGAAAGACACACCCUCAAUGGUCAUAUACUUAUUGCGCCUGCUGCCACCAUCCUUCACUAGCAUCAGAGCCUGGCCAUGUUGACUUUCCAACAUGAACUGAAGACCCGUGGCUCUCCAGGAGUCAGACAGGCCCUUGGUGCCAGGUUUGGACUGCUGUGGCACCCAGCUUAGUGGAAUGAGAGCAUCUAUUGAUUCUUGUCCCCUCCAAUGAGAAGAUAGCCAUUGUUGCCUCAUGUCUUGCAUGAAAAUGUCCUUAUGCAGCACAGUGCCAUGUGUAAUGAAUAAAUACAAUGAAAAAAUUUUAAAAAAUGACGAAGAAUUUCAAGGUGGUAGCCACAGAACAUCAACCCCUAAAUAUGGGGUCCUACCUGACUGCAUUUUUACAUAUCUAUGAAGCCCUGCCUUAUCAUGGCACAGAGACAUGUGGCCUUCAGCUCUCCUUUCCAACUUCAUUUCCUUAUCGGCAGGUGAGCAUAAAAAUCCAGGCUUCCAAGAUGGCAGCAUAGAUACAAGGAAGUCACAUGGCUAGAGAGAGUUGAUAACCUUGUUUCAAGUCCUGACAUCAUGCUUUGUAUUCUUUCCACAUUUUGUUUGCAGCUGGUGGGUUCUGGCUGCAUCAGAGCCAGUCUGAGUCCCUUUGGUGAGCAGAGCUGACUGAGGGCUCAGAGGUCUGGCAGGAUCUCCAGGUCACAGACACUCCCAUUCCCAUUUCUCCAUUUCCUUUGACGAAGAAUGACCAACAGCUCAAAGGACAUUUCAGUUGGUGGGUCAGUCUCGAAGGACCACUGUUUAGAGUACAUUGGGUACCUCAAAAGUGAUGGUGAUCUCCUCCUCACCUUUCUUUGCCUUCAGGAAAGUGGUUCUGCACUGCAGGGUGAGGCUCCAAGAAGUCACAGCCAUGGCAGAUGCUCCAUGACAUUUGAACAGUACCUCAGAUUGUCUAUGAGGAAAUACCCAGGUCUUCACAGUUUCUCAGGUCGCAAACCAUCACCACACACAGCUCAAGCCAUGCAGCUCAAGCCACACAGCUGUGAUGCCACCCUUCCUGAGACACUAUGAGUAUCCCCUUUGUUGGGUGAAGAAAAAAUGACCCAGAGAAGUGAGAGGGCCUUCUUGGUGAAACACAGUUAGACCUUCGCACAUGUGCAGUGGUGUGAUUGUGUGUGUGUGAUGCCCAUAGACACAAACAAACACAUCAAUGAAUAUAUGAAUAAAUAAGUCCAUUAGUUAAUGAGUGAAUUAAAAGCUGGAUAUGACAAGGUAAACAUACAAUCCCAAAGCUUAGGAAGCAGAAGUAGGAGCCAUCAUGUUUGAUGGCUCUAUAGUCAAGCUGAAUCUGCAAUUCGUGUCUCAAAAAAAAAAAACAAAAAACAAAAACCGAAAAACCAACAACAACAACAACAGGGAAGAUGGGAUGCACUGAACAUGAUCAAAGUACACUAUGUGCAUGCAUGACAUGGUCAAAGAAUAAAUAAAAAACAUUAAAAAAACAAAACCAAGUUGGAUGGCACACACGGUUGACUUUUUUGCCUCCACAGGCACUCACACACACAGCCACAGACACGCAGACAUGAAUCUUAAGUGUGUUCUCAGUACAGUGGCUUGACCAUCUCCAUUAUUCAUAAAAGCUGUCAAUACCCAGAAACCCUCACCUUCCUGUUGUGAUGCCUGAACAGAAUCAGAAAACUGGGGCCAGAUGCCCUGCUCAUCACUGCCAGUGCCCGUCCACAUCUAGCUGUCAGUCCCUUCUGUGUUCUAUCUGGGUCCCCAGUCUGUCCCAAUGACAGUACCACACCUCUUCAGGUGACCAUAAGCAUAGGAAUGUGGAACAACAGGGUCUUAGGCCCAGCGAAUUCAGUAGCCAACAGCAGAGACUAUCCCUACAGCUGUGAGAUGUGCUUCAGGCAUGGAGCUUCCAACCCAGUCUUUCCGGGCAGAAGGCUGUUCCCAUGUUUCCUGUGACAGAUGCGACCCUAUCUUUGAUCCCUCUUUCCAAAAAAAGUUUCAUGCUCCUUUCUUCAAGCCCUUUGUUCCCAGCAUAGCUCCGUGAGGAAUCUGAAGAAAGGCUGUGGGAAGCUAUGUGGAUAUAAUCCCUGGUUGGGGAAGCAGCUGCCCCUCCAGCUGGGUCCAGGUGGUGAGGAUACAAGAUGUGGCGGGUUGGGCUAGGCUCCACAAAGCCAGGCUCUGUGGGCCGCCAUCAUUAUCAUUGCAGACAGCCUUCGGAACAACGGAAACCUCCACGCCCUCAACUCCCCAGAAGAGGGAGAGCAGGAUGGGUGCACCACCUCCCUUCUCAGGAUGUUUUUAAUAAUGCAGACCAGCCCACACAGGGAAGCAAGACCUUGGGAAGCACACAGCCCUCCCCUGCAGGGCUAUGGUGCAGGGCUAUUCUUCCAGCCGGGUUCCCUAGUUUGUAUGAAUUACAGAGAUCCUCAUUGCUGCGUGUAUAACAGACUUCUGUGUGAUGGUCUGGGUGUGAUGUGUAGUUGAUACUGGGAGGAGUGUGUCUUUCUUGGCUGUAUCUCUGGUGUUGUUUUUGUUCUUGGAUGGACUCUUUGUUCUAUGACAGAGAGUACCUACAGACGCUCCAAGAUAACAGAUCUGGCAGGAGACACUUCCUGGUGCAAUCUAGAUUGCUUCUCAUAGCACUGUAGUCCACGAUCCGAUGGUACAUAUGAUGGCAACAAGGAGUCUCAACUCAGGUGACCCUGUUUUCUGGCACUAUUGUCUCCCUAUCACCCAAGCAAGGGGUUCUUGCUCCCUUCUGGUAUCCACUGCAUAUCUGUGCUCACGUGAGCACUGGGUGAGGGUGAGCUAGCAUGCAUGUCAUGUGUGAUAGGUCACCUAUGAGAUGCCGCACACACAUGAGGUGAUAAACCGGUUAGCAGAUAUAAAAUAGGAGAGCCAGGACUACACAGAGAAACUCUGUCCUGAAAAUCCAAACCAAACCAAACCAAAAAAGGCAGAGGUAGAUGGAGGACACCAGGGAAUCAAAGUCUUCUAAAUACAACAGGACUGGAGCACAUAUGAACUCAGAGAGUGUGGCAGCAUGCACCGGGCCUACAUGGGUCUGGACCAGAAGUGGUCCUAGAGCUGAAAGGAGAAGUGGACUCAAGUCCCCAUCCCUAACUCAGAAGCUAUCUCCAAUUGAUAGCCAUUUGCAAGUAAAUAAUUAGUUUUUUUCUCUAAGAAAAUCUCACUGGGAAAAUAAGCCACUCUUAAGGGUAGGCCCGAUGCCCAAAAGUAGAUAACCACCAGAAAACGAACUCCACAGCAUCAUUGGAGGUUCUUUGUCUCAUAUUAAGUCAGGGCAAUUCUUUUUCUACUGUACAGAUCCUUUGUAUAUAUAUCAUGGCUUCCAGUUUUGGAUUUUUAUAGGAUUCUUGAGUGUGAAUAUGUGUGUCCCUAUAUCUAUAUGUGUUUCUUUUAUUUCUUGGGCUUUUUCUUGUUUGGUUGUUUCAUCCUAUUCCAAUUUGUUUGUUUUUGAUGUAUCUUAGUUUAUUAUUAUUCCUUAGGUGCCUGUUUGCUUUCUAAUGAGAGACAGAAGGGGCAUGGAUCUAGAUGGGAGGUGAGGUGGGGAGGAACUGGAAGAGCAAGGGGAUGGGAAACUGUGGUGGUUUGAGAGAAAAUAGCCCCCAAAGGGAAUGGAACUAUUAGGAGGUGUAGUCUUGUGGGAGGCGGGCUUUGAGGUCUCAUAUAUGCUCAAGCUACACCCAUUGAGUCAGACCACUUCCUGUUGCCUGCAGAUCAAGAUGUAUUAACUCUCAUCUCCUUCUCCAGCACAUGUUUGCCUGCGUGUCCCGCCAUGAUGAUAAUGGGAUGAACCUCUGAAAUGGUCAGCCACACAAUUAAAUGUUUUCCUUUAUAAAAGUUGCUGUGGUCAUGGUGUUUCUUCACAGCAAUAGAUAGCCUAACUAGAUGAAACCAUAAUCAGAAUCUAUUGUAUGAAAAAAAUCUAUUGUCAAUAAUAAUAAUUUAAAAAGACACACUCAGGGCAUUAGUGAGACACACCUUUAUGUGUGUGUGUUUGUGUGUGUGUUUGUGUGUGUGUGUGUGUGUGUGUAUGCUUGCAAAGAUUAGCUGAAUGGAAAAGAUAUUCCUGAACCUGAGUGGCACUAUUCCAUGGGCUGAGGUGUCAGACUGACUAGAGAAGAGAAAAAAGAAAGUUAGCCAAGCAUCAAUGUUCUUCCUCUGAGGUGUAAGUGGUUAGCCUCUGACCUUUGUGCCUUCCUGCCGUGGGGAUGACAUUCUCAUCGUGAGACUCUCCUUACUUAAGUUUCCUAUCAGGUGUUCUGCCCCAGUGAUGAGAAAAGGAAAUAAUACAGAAGGACAGCAGCUUGAGAUCCUAUGGCCUUGGUGCAAGCAGACCGGAGUUCAAAUCCUACUACCAUCAUUUCUUAUUCAUAGCUAUGUCUACUUCUCUUUUUUUCUGUACUAUCAGAUGUGGAUGGACACUCAUGAGGACUGAUCAGAUGUGGAUGGACACUCAUGAGGACUGAUCAGAUGUGGAUGGACACUCAUGAGGACUGAUCAGAUGUGGAUGGACACUCAUGAGGACUGAUCAGAUGUGGAUGGACACUCAUGAGGACUGAUCAGAUGUGGAUGGACACUCAUGAGGAUGGAGUGAGAUUGGGAAGGAACUGGAGUUUUGUGGAUCAUGUCUCAGCUCCUCAGAAUGCAAGGCUGGCAAGGUGGCUCAGUGGGUAAAGGAUGAUCUCUGCCAAGACUGAAGACAGGAGUUCAAUACCUGGGUCUCACUUGAUGGAAACUGAAAUCCACCUCCAGCAAGUUGUCUUCUGCACCAACACACACAGAGAAACACUUACACAUGGCACCUGCUGGAAGUGGCUCCUGACUUGAGGGUGAAGAAAGGAGCUGCUGGCCCCAUGCAGCCCCAGGACAAGGCCAUGGUGAUGUAGAACUCUGAAGAUCCUGUGGAGCUCAAGCUGGAAGAAGCAGUCAGUCCUUCAAGCCACUGAGCCUCAGCUCCCUCGUCUGAUGUUUCUCAGCUGCACUUGGAGACACUUUCCUGUUACAACCUCCUUUCCCAAUGUGCAACACAGCUGGCCUCAAAGUGAACAGAAAGAGCCAAAUACUUUAGAGGGGAUAGCGUUGUCAAGUAUGAGCCCAAGUGCCUUGGAGGAGGCUCCUU